rnacentral:lncRNA from 1 species
GCUUCCGCCCUGCGCGCUAACCCAAGACGGGAGCUCGAGAGCUUGAUCCUGCGCGAGUUUACAGACUGCCCUCUUCCCUUUUUGCAUCGAAGACCACGACUCCCAAGAGGUAAUGCGUCGGCCCGGGACUACAUCUCCCGGCAUGCAUCGCCGGCGGGUCCGCGAGUUCUCACCAUCGCAGCUGGACUAUUAGCGGGGGCCCUAGCGCUCUUGUGGUUUGUUUCGGCAGUAUCUGAAUGUCAGCUUUUGGCACUUCUGGUCGCUCUGAGCCUCCUACUCGCAUUCCUGGAGCAAGGAAAAGUGUAAUGUUGGUUCGAGCUCAAGAAGGAAUCUGGAUUCCGGUAACUUUGCCCAGACCUUGGGAAUCCUCCCCUUCAAUACAUUUAAUUAAUGAAGUGUUACAGUGAAUUCUAAAAAGAUCUAAGAGAUUUAUUUUCACUUUAAUUGCUGUUAUCAUGGGCCUAAUUACAGUCACUGCAGUGGCCACCACUGCCGGAAUGGCAUUACACCAGUCCAUUCAAGCGGCUCAUUUUGUUAAUGGUUGGCAAGCCAAUUCCAUCCAAAUGUGGAAUUCUCAACAAGGCAUCGAUCGAAAAUUGGCAAAUCAAAUUAGUGAUUUAAGACAGUCUGUUAUUUGGCUUGGAGAUCAGGUAGUGAGUCUCGAGCAUCACAUGCAAAUGCAGUACGAUUGGAACACUUGAGAUUUCUGCAUCACCCCGUAUUCCUAUAACGAGACUGAUCAUUCAUGGGAAAUGGUCAAAAGACAUCUUCUGGGUAGGGAAGAUAAUUUAUCACUGGACAUAACUAAAUUAAAGAGACAAAUUUUUGAAGCCUCUCAAGCUCACUUAUCCAUUGUGCCUGGAGCUGAGGCGUUAGAUCAGGUGGCAGAAAAUCUUUCUGGAUUAAACCCCAGGACUUGGAUUAAGUCUAUUGGGGGCUCCACUGUAGUAAAUUUUGGAAUUAUGUUUCUCUGUUUAAUCGGCUUGUUUUUAGUUUGCCAGACUAGUCAAAGAAUCCUGCGUCAAAAUCAAGAGAACGAACAAGCCUUCAUUGCCAUGGCACAUUUAUUAUAAAAAGAAAGGGAGAGAUGUUGCGGGAAGUCAGGGACCCCGGAGGGACCAGCUGAAGCCAUGGCAGAAGAACAUAAAUUGUGAAGAUUUCAUGGACAUUUAUUAGUUCCCCAAUCAAUACCCUUGUGAUUUCCUAUGCCUGUCUUUACUUUAAUCUCUUAAUCCCGUCAUCUUCGUAAACUGAGGAGGAUGUAUGUCGCCUCAGGACCCUGUGAUGAUUGUGUUAACUGCACAAAUUGUAGAGCAUUUGUGUUUGAACAAUAUGAAAUCUGGGCACCUUGAAAAAAGAACAGGAUAACAGUGAUGUUCACGGAACAAGAGAGAUAACCUUAAACUCUGACUGCCGGUGAGCUGGACGGAACAGAGCCAUAUUUCUCUUCUUUCAAAAGCAAAUGGGAGAAAUAUCACUGAAUUCUUUUUCUCAGCAAGGAACAUCCCUGAGAAAGAGAAUGCAUCCCUGAGGGUAGGCCUCUGAAAUGGCUGCUUCAGGGCAGCUGUCUUUUAUGGUCGCAGCUGUGGGGAUGAAAUAAGCCCCAGUUUCUCAGAGUGCUCCCAGGCUUAUUAGGACGAGGAAAUUCCUGCCUAAUAAAUUUUGGUCAGACCAGUUGUCUGCUCUCAAACCCUGUCUCCUGAUAAGAUGUUAUCAAUGACAAUGCAUGCCCGAAACUUCAUUAGCAAUUUUAAUUUCACCCCAGUCCUGUGGUCCUGUGAUCUCGCCCUGCCUCCAUUUACCUUGUGAUAUCUUAUUACCUUGUGAAGCAUGGGAUCUCUGUGACCCAUACCCUAUUUGUACACUCCCUCCCCUUUUGAAAAUCACUAAUAAAAAAUUUGCUGGUUUUAUGGCUCAGGGGGCAUCACAGAACCUGCCAACAUGUGAUGUCUGCCCUGGACACCCAGCUUUAAAAUUUCUCUCUUUUGUACUCUGUCCCUUUAUUUCUCAAACCGGCCAACACUUAGGGAAAAUAGAAAAGAACCUACAUGAAAUAUUGGGGGUGAAUUUCUCCUGAUAUCUGGCUGAAUUUCCCCCGACAGGCCACAGGGACCGCAAUUCCUGGGCAAGUCCUUGUGCCAUGCUAGGCUCAGAGCCAGCGGACUUUGGGGUGCACACAACCUAGUGAGAUACCAGCUGGGGUGGCCAAGGGAGUACUUGCAUCACCCCUCCCAGAACCCCAGGCAGUGCAGCUCACAGCUCUAGGAGAGACUCCUUCCUCCUGAUUGAGGAGAGGAGGGAAGAGUAAAGAGAACUUUGUCUUGCAUCUUGGAUACCAGCUCAACUACCAUAGAAUCGGGCACCAGGCAAAGUCCUGAGGCUUCAUUCCAGGCCCUUGCUGCUGGAUGACAUUUCUAGACACAUCCUGGGCUAGAAGGGAGCCUGCUGCCUUGAAGAGAAGGACCCAGUCCUGGCAGGAUUCAUCACUUGCUUACUAAAGAGCCAUUGGGACCUGAAUAGUCAG